rnacentral:lncRNA from 1 species
CACACACACACACACACACCCUGAAAGGGCUUUCCUUGUCUUAAGCCUCUGUGUAUGAAACACUCUGGAACCCACCGGCCUAGGUGUUAGAACAGCACCGAAGUUGCCAGGGCCAGGGGUCCAGCCAUCCUGACCUCUGCUAGCCACCCUGCAAGGGCCGAUGUUCCCACGCAGGAGGCCCCAGGGAGGUGGUACUGAGCAACCGGCCACACCCAAGGAAACAGCUCAGAGCUCAACUUCCUCCUGAAUUAGGCCACACCCGAGGCCUCCCGGGUCUCAUCCACGCCUCUGGGUCCAUCACUAAACAGAAGGCACAAUCCCACUAACUCUUACUCCAUCGCUGCUCAUGAAACUCCUGCCAGUAAGGACUGGGUCAAGCACCUGAAAACCAGAGCUCGUCCGUGGCUUCACUUGUUUUGGACUAAGGAGCUGAGGAGCGUGCAAGACUGUACUUGGAGAAUCUGUUUCUUGCUGCCAUUUCGUCACUGAACACUAUUUUUUUUCUCCUUCUUUUUUUGUAAGAAAAGGAGAACACAUAAAACCCCACCAGAACAAACUCCACUCGGCCCUGAAAGUAUUUACAAUCACGGCCCUGAAAGUACUGAAAGUAUUUACAAUCACGUUACAGUUCAUUCACUGCUGCAGAACCUCUCUCCAGCGAUCAAGGUCGAAGGGAGCCGACGUCGCCCUCUAUCGGCUCCCUGCUGCACUAGAAGGAUCGGGAAGAUGGAGGCUCCUGAAGAGCUGUAGAAGCGCAUCCUAGGCAGAAGCCCAGCAGACAGCAAAGGGCCUGGUUUGUUCAAGGAACUGGAGGGCAAGAAAAUCAGGAGCCAAUUCAUGCAGGGCACAGUUAGCCAAGCCGGACUCACUCAGGAGGCCCUUCAUCUUCAUGUUCCCCACAUAGCAGAGGGGAGGGCAGAAGAUGAGAGGGAGGAGAGAGCAGAGCCAAGAGCCUCCUUUUCUCCCACUGUGCCCCUCCUAUGUGUGGCUCUGGACACCAGGAACCACCCAAGGACAGUGGGACUCCUCGAAAAGAUAAUUGCUCAUGAGGGAUCCAAGAGCAAGGCUUGUUACAUCCUAUAACCUUCACACAAAAUAUUGACUGAGAAUCCUCCAUGUGCCAAGUACUGUUCAAAAACACUGGGAACCCAGCAGGGAUGAGCCACAAGUUUCCUUGUCUUUACGAAGCUUUCAUUCUGAGGGAGUGGAGAGAGACAAGCAAUAAACAACCAAUCAAAACAAAGAUGACUCCUCUGAGUGUUGUGAUAUGCGGGUCAAGGAGGAUGGCUCCCAGGAUGUGACCUCAGAGCAGAAGCCUGGAGGCUUGCCAGCAGCGGGAAGAGCAGCGGCAGGGCACUGCAGGCAGAGGUGACCAAAAGCGUGAAACCUUGAGCUGGGAAGCACGUGGUCUGCUGGAAAGUGGGCUGAUGUAUUUGAAGAGAGCAAGGAGCAGAAUGGUACAAUGGGGUGAUGGGGGAAGAGCCAGGCAGAGCCCAGUGCUGCAAAGCCCGGUAGCACAUACAUGUGUAACGUACCUUGAAGCAAAUGAAUGGCCUGAUCUGGUUUCUGUUUUGGCUGCUCUGUGGUGAUGUGGUGCCUGGGAGGCAAAGAAGCUGGGAAAGAAGCGGUUUUUCUCUUCUAGGUACUUUAAAGCUCUAUAAUAUAUGCUCAGGUGAAAUUUGGCUGGUAUUUUCAGGGACUUCACUGCUUUUGUGCCAUACUGGCCUCAUCAUGUAGAUAACAUCACGG